rnacentral:rRNA from 1 species
GGGCUUGGCGGUGUUUUAGACCUCUCAGGGGAACCUGUCUCGUAAUCGACAAUCCACGAUAAACCUAACCUUUAAUGGCAAUUCAGCCUGUAUACCGUCGUCGUCAGGUAACUUCUUAAAAUAUAGUAGUUAGCUUGAGAAUUAUAUUAAUUAAAACGUCAGAUCAAGGUGCAGCCAAUGAAGAGGUGAAGAUGGGUUACAAUUACAUAUUUGUAAACACGGAAAAACGUUUGAAAUGAAGUGUCUUAAAGGAGGACUUGAAAGUAAUUUUAUCUAUAUAAAUAGAAUGAAUAGGGCUCUGAAACGUGCACACAUCGCCCGUCGCUCUCGUUGAAAAAUGAGAUAAGUCGUAACAUAGUAGGGGUAAUGGAAAUUGUUCCUAGGC